AACGUAGGGGGCAAGCGUUGCUCGGAUUCACUGGGUGUAAAGGGCGCGUAGGCGGAUAAACAAGUCGGAUGUGAAAUCCCGGGGCUCAACCCCGGAACUGCAUCCGAAACUGUUUAUCUGGAGUAGUGGAGAGGAAAGCGGAACUCCUGGUGUAACGGUGAAAUGUGUAGAUAUCAGGAGGAACGCCGAUAGCGAAGGCAGCUUUCUGGACACUUACUGACGCUGAGGCGCGAAAGCGUGGGGAGCAAACAGG
rnacentral:rRNA from 1 species